rnacentral:rRNA from 1 species
GCUGCGGCAGCGAUAUGUAAAUAUUGUUGGGUAGGGGAGCGUUCUGUAAGCCUGUGAAGGUGUACUGUGAGGUAUGCUGGAGGUAUCAGAAGUGCGAAUGCUGACAUAAGUAACGAUAAUGCGGGUGAAAAACCCGCACGCCGGAAGACCAAGGGUUCCUGUCCAACGUUAAUCGGGGCAGGGUGAGUCGACCCCUAAGGCGAGGCAGAAAUGCGUAGUCGAUGGGAAACGGGUUAAUAUUCCCGUACUGGUGAUAAUUGCGAUGGGGGGACGGAGAAGGUUAGGCUGGCCGGGCGACGGUUGUCCCGGUUUAAGGAUGUAGGCAGGUGAAUUAGGCAAAUCCGGUUCACUAUAUGCUGAGGUCUGAUGACGAGUCACUACGGUGGCGAAGUAGCUCAUACCCCGCUUCCAGGAAAAGCCUCUAAG